rnacentral:lncRNA from 1 species
AUGUCUUGCCGGAGGCUCUCUGGGGCCACGUCGUCGGGUUCUGACCCCGCGUCCCCCUUCCAGGCGCCGCUCUUCGUCCUCCUCCUCCUCGCCCUCCUCCUCCUCGUCCUCCAGCUCCCGCUCCUAUUCCCCGGACCGAGGUUAUCGCUACAGCUCCCGACGCCGCUCCCGGUGCGUCCCCGCCGUGGGGUUUUCCGUUUCGGGGAUGGGGUGGUUAGGUCAGAACAACUGAAUUCCCCCCAAAUUGCAGCUGUAGGGACCCCAGACUGUCUCCAUUGUCCCCAGAGGGGAUUAUGGAUAUUCCCCCCCCCCAUUUGCCCCAGGUUGCAGCUGUCUGGACCCCAGAGUGCCGCUCUGUGCCCCAAAUUCCCCAUUAUUUGCCCCAGAUUGCAGCCCCAGAGCCCUUCAGCGUCCCCAUGUGCCCCAGAGUCUCCUGGGUCUGAACAGACAGCCCCAGAAGCCCCAAAUUCCCCAAGAUUUGCCCCAAGUCAUCCCUAUGGGCCCCAGUACAGCCCUGUGUGCCCCAAAUCCUACUUACUUGCCCCAAAUUCCCCUUUUUUGCCCCCCAAAUUUCCCCCAUGGCCCCAGUGGCAGUCCCAAGCCUCCCUUAUUUGCCCCAAAUCCCACUUAAUUUGCCUCAAAAUGUCCCCCUGGACUGGUUGGGUCAACUGCAAAGAUUGGGUUGGGUCGACUGGGAAGAACUCACGUUAGGACAAGACCCCAGUUGGACAACUGGGAAGAACCCGCCUUGGGACAAGACCCCAGUUAGUCAACUGGGAAGACCCCCAUUUGGAAAAGACGCCACAGUUGGUCAACUGGGAAGACCCCACACUGGUACAAGAUCCCAGUUGGUCAAUGGGGAUAAUCCCAUGCUGGGGGAAGAUCGCAGUUGGUCAACUGGGAAGACCCUGUGUUGGGUCAACUGAGAAAGACCCCAUGUUGGGACAAGACUCCAGUUGGUCAACUGGGAUGACCCUGUAUUGGGGCAAGACCCCAGUUGGUUAACUGGGAUAAUCCCAUGCUGGGGGAAGAUCGCAGUUGAUCAACUGGGAAGACCCUGUGUUGGGUCAACUGGGAAGACCCUGUGGUGGGACAAGACCCCAGUUGGUCAACUGGGAUGACCCUGCAUUGGGGCAAAACCCCAGUUGGUCAACUGGGAUAAUCCGAUGCUGGGGGAAGAUCGCAGAUGGUCAACUGGGAAAGACCGCACACUGGUACAAGACCCCAGUUGGUCAACUGGGAAGACCCCAUGUUGGGACAAGACCCCAGUUGGUCAACUGGGAAGACCCCACACUAGGACAAGACCCCAGUUGGUCAACUGGGAAGACCCCACACUAGGACAAGACCCCA